AAACUGANUNGCUAGAGNGCGGUAGAGGCAGACGGAAUUCCGGGUGUAGCGGUGGAAUGCGUAGAUAUNGGGAAGAACACCAGUGGCGAAGGCGCUCAACUGGGCNGUAACUGACACUCAGGGACGANAGCUAGGGUAGCAAAAGGGAUUAGAUACCCUCUGUAGUCNUAGCUGUAAACGAUGGANACUAGGCGCUGCU
rnacentral:rRNA from 1 species